rnacentral:rRNA from 1 species
UACGUAGGGGGCAAGCGUUGUCCGGAUUUAUUGGGCGUAAAGAGCGUGUAGGCGGCCACACAGGUCAGCUGUGAAAACUCGAGGCUCAACCUCGAGACGUCGGUUGAAACCGUAUGGCUAGAGUCCGGAAGAGGAGAGUGGAAUUCCCGGUGUAGCGGUGAAAUGCGCAGAUAUCGGGAAGAACACCCGUGGUGAAGGCGGCUCUCUGGGACGGUACUGACGCUGAGACGCGAAAGCGUGGGGAGCGAACAGG